CACCUGAUGACCAGCGCUGGUAAUCCAGCGCUGGCUCCUCUACAUCCGAGGCACGACCGGGUGUAUGGCCAGCGCUCCAAACAGGGAGUUGCCGCUGGUAAUGCCCUGCAGGUAUGUACACAUCCUAAGUUGCAGCGCUGUAACCCCCUCACCAGCGCUGCAACUUUGUAGUGUAGACAAGGCCACAAUCACCAGAAUGCAGAGGCUGCCACACAGCCUGCAACCUCCAGCUCGGCGCUCUAAAACACGCAGCACCGGGCUGGGCAUUCUGGGAAUUGUAGUUUGACUCCUCCCCGUGAGCAAGCUGAGGACUACAACUCCCAGAAGGGAGUAAGCCAAGCGCCAUUUUGAUGAUGUGGUUGUUCUUUAAAUGAGCAGGCGGCAAUAACUGUGCGUUCGAGCCUCUGCAAGUGCGUAGGGGUGUCUGACCUCCCCGGGGGGAUGGUGCUGCAUAGAAGAGCCCAGAAUUGUAGCCUCCCUGCCAGGAGUGGGGAAGGAAGGUAACAUAGUCACCCUUUGAGGCCAGUUGGAGAUGGUAUGCAGACCUUUUGGAGAGUGUACAACAAGCCUUAUCUGAGCAUAUGCCGAACAAUAGUUCUGGAGUCAGUUACUAUAAUGUCCUUCGUUUGUUCUAGCUGUAGUUUCUAAAUAUAGAAACUAUUUCACUUGUUUUUGCUAUUGAGACUUAUAUUUUGAACUCUUGGAAUUUUUGCUAUGGGGAAACUAUGAAUGGCAGAGCUGAAAUUUAAGCUGGAAGUUCUAUUGAGUUCAAGGAGCAAAAGAUUGGUAUGUUCAUUAUGACUUAAUUUCUUAUACUGCAAUUACUGAAUAUUGUAGAAGCACUUAAGUUUUCUGGAAAGUACUACCAAACUUUUUAGGAAAGGAGUAUGAAUAUUGUAAAUUAGAAUACAGAAUAGAAUGCCAAUGAUGACUUAUAGUUCUAAGUAUGUGUAAAAAUAGGUAGUGUCUCUUUAUUUUAAAACUGAUACUCAGUGGGAAAGUUUUCCUGUCAUCUAGACUUUUUUGUUUAAAAAAAUAAAAAACUUAAAAACAUUAUUUUAUUGUGAUCCAAAAUACAGCAUUUAUACAGGUUGUCUGAGAUAUACUGUUCUGAAGCAGUAGUUAUUAACACCAAAUUUAUAUAAAAAUAAACAGAGUAUGCAUACUAAAACCAUCAGCUUGAUUGAUGACUUACAGAACUGCACAUUCUUGCUAUCAGUGUCCUGUUUCUAGUGCACCAACUGGAGAAAAACAAAAUAAAAAACAAAACCCACGGGGGGUCUUUUCAGAUACAGUUCCAGUAUAACAGUAAAAAUUAAAUUGAGAGAAGAGAUUCUCCCCCCCCGCCCCAAAAAAUAUAUAUAUAUAUAAAGGGGUUUUCAAACAGCAAGGAGGAUUAGGCCUAUCAUAUGUCCAUUUUCUUCUUUUAAAGUGUUUGUCUUGAUGAGGACUUCUGAGAUUAACUUUUCAAACCCAGAUAUAUUGCAUGACUAUUAGGAUGGGAUACAUUAACAGAAAAUAUCAGACAAACCCAAUUGGUUAUACAGAUUUGAAUGAGAAGCAAGUGAAAAGACAACAUUGUUUAUGAAAGCCACUAUGUAAAUUCAUACACUGUUUAGUGUACUAGGAUUACCAUAAUCUUCUGAGAUUUGUGCACUGACUACUUUGGCAGAAGAUAGGUAAAAAGGUAAAUUUUAUCUUUUAUUUUCUUUUCUUCUCCCCCCUUUCUAUUUUGUAGAACUCAGUUUUCUUUGAAAAGUUUGUUAUGGCAGUUUUUUUUGUCAGCAAAACUAAUCUUUCUGCUUAUCUCUAAUUUCUCAGCAGAUGGAACAUCACAGUUUGAAGGAGCAUCUAGUCAAAAUUAUAAGUAUCCUAAAGAACUCUCUCCACUAGUUUUGAUAAACUCAUUCAGUAAUGAUGUAACUCUUUUGUAGUGCAGGGAUUAACAACUUCCUCUAUACAGAAAGGUGAGAUGCUAGAUUUUAUUUUCCUGCAGCAGCUUGGGGGGG